rnacentral:rRNA from 1 species
UACAGAGGUCCCAAGCGUUGUUCGGAUUCAUUGGGCGUAAAGGGUGUGUAGGUGGCGCUGUAAGUGGGGUGUGAAAUCUCGGGGCUUAACUCCGAAACUGCAUUCCAUACUGCGGUGCUUGAGGACUGGAGAGGAGACUGGAAUUCAUGGUGUAGCAGUGAAAUGCGUAGAGAUCCGGAGGAACACCGAAGGCGAAGGCAGUGUCCUGGCGAGUGACUGACGCUGAGGUGCGAAAGCCAGGGGAGCGAACGGG